GGAAAGAUGAAAAGAACUUUGAAAAGAGAGUUAAAUAGUACGUGAAAUUGUUGAAAGGGAAACGAUUGAAGUCAGUCAUGCCGGUGGGAAUCAACUUAGGGGAAACUCUAAGUGCACUUCUUCGCUUGGCAGGUCAACGUCGAUUUUGGAUGUCAUAAAAUGAUUGGGGGAAGGUAGCCCCUUAGGGAGUGUUAUAGCCCUUGGUAGAUGUGAUGUCUGGGAUCGAGGAUUGCAAUGGAUACCCUUUGGGGCUAGCUGCCUGAUCUCUAAUUGGCAUUGGGUUACGGAUAGCAUGCUGACCGUGAUCUAAUUAUUGGUUAAAAGGUUAGAGCGUGCAUAAAUUCAUUAAGGACGUUGACGUAAUGGCUUUAAACGACCCGUCUUGAAACACGGACCA
rnacentral:rRNA from 1 species